GAAAUCCGGUUGCCAUUAACAUACGUGGCUUUAGCUCCUGCCGUUGUGUUACAGAGUUCUUCGCCUUCAUUUUGCUUCAGUCUCUCCCACAAUAUUGAUUUUCAUCUCAAUUCUCUUGCUUCAUCUCGCCCAAUUCUCUAUUUCUAUCGUCUUCUUUCUUCCAUUAUAGUGUGAGCUCUUGAUUUCACUAUGUACUCUCUUUCUAUUGCAGAUUUGUGGCCAAUGUUUUGGUGUAACUCCAAGCCCUUUUCAUCACUGCAUCUGCCUCGCUUUCCACCAAAAGAUUGGAAGGUGGAACCCGAAGAGGGAAGAUUACUUUCUUCUUGUGUUGAUCUGGAAUCUUGAAUUCAUAAUCUUUUCUAAAACAAAAAUGCCCUCAAUUUCAUCAAUCAAAACCCUAAAAUCAAAAUUUUCCAAUUCUUCUUGAAUAUAUGCAAAAUCAGCCUUUAAGCCAGUUUAGUUCAUGAAUUUAAGGUAAAUCUUCAUUCUUAAUUGUUUUUAUCCCAUUCGGGGUGCUUGUACACAACGUUUUGGUUAAUUAAUUUUUAUCAAAUUGCAUAGACAUUUUUUUGCUUUUGAUUCUUUACUUUGUUUUCCUGUAUCUCUGCUUGAUCAAAAUAACCUUUUAUUAUUUUUCGUGCAUCCGAGCAGCUACACUUGCUUGGAGAUUUGUGUUGUUCCAGUGCUUCUAAUCGACGAAUCAUACUCAUCAUCUAUUUCUGUCUUUCUCACAAUGCUUUCAGCCUUUUGGUAUUAGAUUGGCAAUUGAGAGUCAAAAACAAUAAGCCCAAGGACCAACUCGAUUUUGAUUAAAGAAGGAGAAUACUUCCAGUGGCAACUCUCUGGUGUCCAAGGAUGUUGCUUUCGUAGAAACAUACCAGUUAUGUGUGGUCUAUUCGUGUGUACUCGCACUCUUUUUACCGGCAGGAGUUCGUUGGAGCAUGCUAAAUUUGAGCUUAGGGUAUAAUCAAAGCACAAACAAAGAUGCAUGACAAUGUUUAGAAAGUAUGUCAAUUACUACCAACUAAUUUAGUUCUCUUGCUUCUCUUCUUUUUCUCAACUAUUUUCUCUGUGAAAGAAUGAGGUACGCUAGACUAACAAAUUAGAAGAGCAAGUUUUCCGACAUAGCUGCUUCAUGUCAACACAUUUCAAAUUAAGGGCAAUAUUGUCUUUCCAUCUAUUAGUCUUCA